GACGGAGGCCCCAAGCGUUGUUCGGAAUUACUGGGCUUAAAGGGCGUGUAGGCGGAGCGGUAAGUACCUUGUGAAAGCCCCGGCUUCAACCCGGGAACUGCUCGGUAUACUGUCGCUCUUGAGGCAGGUAGGGGUCACUGGAACCUUAGGUGGAGCGGUGAAAUGCGUAGAUAUCUAAGGGAACGCCUGUGGCGAAAGCGGGUGACUGGGCCUGACCUGACGCUGAGACGCGAAAGCGUAGGGAGCAAACGGGAUUAGAUACCCCAGUA
rnacentral:rRNA from 1 species